rnacentral:rRNA from 1 species
CGGGACGGGUGAGUAAUGUCUGGGAAACUGCCUGAUGGAGGGGGAUAACUACUGGAAACGGUAGCUAAUACCGCAUAACGUCGCAAGACCAAAGAGGGGGACCUUCGGGCCUCUUGCCAUCGGAUGUGCCCAGAUGGGAUUAGCUAGUAGUGGGGUAACGGCUCACCUAGCGACGAUCCCUAGCUGGUCUGAGAGGAUGACCAGCCACACUGGAACUGAGACACGGUCCAG